rnacentral:lncRNA from 1 species
GGUAGUCUGCACCGACUGAGUGAUCCAGAGGUCGGGAGUUCAAUUCCUAGACGCAGCAUCUUUUUGUUUUCUUUUUUCUGGCCUAUUGGGCCGGUUCUAGGGCAAUAUGGGUCGAUCUUGACCACGUAUGGACUUGGAAUAAGCAGUUUUGGGCCGAUUUUGAGUGCUCUCGGGCAUAAACAGCACUAGAAUCAGAAAAGUGCCUGUAUCAACUGUUUUUCUGUUGAAACAUGCAUAUAAAAUUUAUGUGUUGCUCAAAAAUUCACGGCAAUUUUGGUUAAUUUGGUUAUAACCGAAACCGAACCGAAAUUAACUGGUUA